rnacentral:rRNA from 1 species
UAGGGAAUCUUCCACAAUGGGCGCAAGCCUGAUGGAGCAACACCGCGUGAGUGAAGAAGGGUUUCGGCUCGUAAAGCUCUGUUGUUAAAGAAGAACACGUAUGAGCGUAACUGUUCAUACGUUGACGGUAUUUAACCAGAAAGUCACGGCUAACUACGUGCCAGCAGCCGCGGUAAUACGUAGGUGGCAAGCGUUAUCCGGAUUUAUUGGGCGUAAAGAGAGUGCAGGCGGUUUUCUAAGUCUGAUGUGAAAGCCUUCGGCUUAACCGGAGAAGUGCAUCGGAAACUGGAUAACUUGAGUGCAGAAGAGGGUAGUGGAACUCCAUGUGUAGCGGUGGAAUGCGUAGAUAUAUGGAAGAACACCAGUGGCGAAGGCGGCUACCUGGUCUGCAACUGACGCUGAGACUCGAAAGCAUGGGUAGCGAACAGGAUUAGAUACCCUGGUAGUCCAUGCCGUAAACGAUGAGUGCUAGGUGUUGGAGGGUUUCCGCCCUUCAGUGCCGGAGCUAACGCAUUAAGCACUCCGCCUGGGGAGUACGACCGCAAGGUUG